UACGUAGGUGACCAGCGUUGUCCGGAUUUACUGGGCGUAAAGAGCGCGCAGGCGGUCGUUCAAGUCGAGUGUGAAAGCCCCCGGCUCAACUGGGGAGGGUCACUUGAUACUGAUCGACUCGAAGGCAGGAGAGGGAAGCGGAAUUCCCGGUGUAGUGGUGAAAUGCGUAGAUAUCGGGAGGAACACCAGUGGCGAAGGCGGCUCACUGGACCACAACUGACGCUGAGGCGCGAAAGCUAGGGGAGCAAACAGG
rnacentral:rRNA from 1 species